UGGGGGAAUAUUGGACAAUGGGCGCAAGCCUGAUCCAGCCAUGCCGCGUGAGUGAUGAAGGCCUUAGGGUUGUAAAGCUCUUUCGCCGGUGAAGAUAAUGACGGUAACCGGAGAAGAAGCCCCGGCUAACUUCGUGCCAGCAGCCGCGGUAAUACGAAGGGGGCUAGCGUUGCUCGGAAUCACUGGGCGUAAAGCGCACGUAGGCGGAUCGUUAAGUCAGGGGUGAAAUCCUGGAGCUCAACUCCAGAACUGCCCUUGAUACUGGCGAUCUCGAGUUCGAGAGAGGUUGGUGGAACUCCGAGUGUAGAGGUGAAAUUCGUAGAUAUUCGGAAGAACACCAGUGGCGAAGGCGGCCAACUGGCUCGAUACUGACGCUGAGGUGCGAAGGCGUGGGGAGCAAACAGGAUUAGAUACCCUGGUAGUCCACGCCGUAAACGAUGGAUGCUAGCCGUUGGGGGGUUUACCUCUCAGUGGCGCAGCUAACGCCUUAAGCAUCCCGCCUGGGGAGUACGGUCGCAAGAUUAAAACUUAAAGGAAUUGAC
rnacentral:rRNA from 1 species